rnacentral:rRNA from 1 species
AUUGAACGCUGGCGGCAGGCCUAACACAUGCAAGUCGAGCGAGCGGUGGACGGGUGAGUAAUUUCUGGGAAACUGCCUCACGGAGGGGGAUAACUCCUGGCACCGGUUGUUAAUACCGCAUACCCUCAGAUGUGCCUAGAUGGGAACAGCUCGUGGGUGGGGUAACGGAUCACCUAGGCCACGGUCCCUAGCUGGUCUGAGAGGAUGACAAGACACACUGGAACUGAGACAGGGUCGGGAGUCCUACGGGAGGCAGGAGGGGGGAAUAUUGCACGGUGGGUGCAAGCCUGAUACAGCCAUGCCGCGUGAGGGAAGAAGGCCUUGGGGUUGUAAGGCACUUUCAGCGGAGAGGCGUUACCCGCAGAAGAAGCACCGGCUAGCUCCGUGCCAGCAGCCGCGGUAAUUC